GCCGGUGGAUGAACACAUUCCAGACAGUCUUAAGUGGAGGACGACGUGAAUGCUUUCUCUCUCUGCGUCUCUCCGCUACGCCUCCUCCGCCUCUUCCCUCUCACUCUCUCAUGCUUUCUGUCUCUCUCCCUCCUCUUUCUCCCUCGGUCUGUCCUGCUACUGUCUCUCCCUCCUCUCUCCCUCGGUCUGUCCGGGUCGGGACGGCCGUUUCUCAGUUUGUCACGGGGCUGGUUCCUUGUGCUGCCUCGACAAAGCUGAAACUGCAGGAUCAUGGACUCACAUUCAGAGAACAAGCCCAUGAACCAGAAGCACAAACAGCAACAAGGAUGCUAUGCUACUCAAAGAUACCCGCGUAUAACAAUCACCAACACACACUAACAUGGAAAAGUCAAUAAGAAUAGCCUACUGUACCACUCUCUCCUGUUACCGCUGUAGUUUGUAAAAAUGUGGUGAUGAACCUAUUAGCUAGUGAAGCUACUAGAAACAACACGAAAAAACACUGUGGUCGUUGCUUCCAACCAAUAAACUCCCCGAGCCCCCCCCUCUCCUCGGUGCUCAGAUAUAAUAGCAGAGCAGGGAAGGCGGGAUGCACAGAAGGAGGGAGACAACAGGAAAUACAGUUAUUUACUAGAUGGUGAUUAAUGCAAAUAAAAGCAAAUUGUGACAACUCGCGCAGCACCAUGGACAACAUCCCAUUCAGCACCUUGGACAGCGGCACCAGCAAGCCCUGGAUCAGGUGAUCAGAGGCAGGUAUGUCCGGGUGCCGCUCCCAAGGGAGACAACGAGCUGCUCAGGUGCAGCUCAUGAGCUAAAUGGAGUGCUGCCCAUACAAGGCGGUUGAGCUUUCCCUCUCUGGAAGGGGGGAGGGGGUCAACAGAGUAGGAGCUGGACUCCAACAUGUUAAGUGCUGAGGGUCCAGACAGCCCAGCUGGACCAGGCGCCUCUGUCCCCUCAACAGAGGAAGAAUCUGAGUUUUGUUUUUUUUGUUUCUAAAUAAUAAACGUCUUCCCUUUUGUACC